rnacentral:lncRNA from 12 species
AUGAACAACUGUGAACCCUCACCUUUUUUGUUUGAUGCCUAUGUUGUUCAGCUUCCCUCUUGUAUUUCUUUCCCUAGGUAUACUUUUGAUGUGAUCCAGUACACGUUCUCCUUUCAGAUCAUCAAGAGAGAAGCUGUCAUCAGAAAAAUUUGUGGACGACACCUCUGUAAGCCUUCUUCAGAGGCAGCCACUUCCCUUUCCAGAGUGUCCCAAUCCAGCCUCCCUAGGACUGGAAUCAACUUUCACAAUAUGCAGAGUCUUUGGGAAAAGUCUGGAGCAUAAUACCAGAGACUUGGCAUGUUGGAAUGCCAAGGCACAAAGCAAUGCCCAGGAAUCUUCACAGGGGUUUUGCAUUUAUCAAGAAGCUAGUAUACCUCCUUGGGGUUCUUAGGAGAUGCUGGCACCAGGUGUUCAGGACUUUUAUAUUUGUCCAGUAAUUUUUAAGCAACAUCACACAGGAAUUGGACCCACAAUAACCCAUCAGGUCAGGGGAUGAAAAGCAACAGCAUCAAGUUGAAGCACUGAUAUAGAGAUGGUAGGUCUCUGCUGCAUUCCCCUUUUCAUGGUACCAUUGGUCUCCUGUUGCAUGGCUAUUUUACUCAUCUGGGCCGACACAUAGUCCUUGCUGGACCCACCAACUCAGCAGUCAUGGGCAUAGAUCUUCCUCCACUUUACCUAGGAUAAUAUCCUUUACUCAUGCCUUUAGCUUCAAGACCCCCACCCUGCACUGACAAUAGCCUUGUGAUACAGUCCCCAUCCUUAGCUAUCCUUGGCCUCAAGGCAUGGAGGACCCUCACACAUAUUAAUAGUCAAUUGAGUGGUCUAAUUAUCUCCUUAGACCAUACGGCCUCGAUCACGUUGCUCUGGGGAGAUUGUUGAGUUAUUAUGGCAGCAGUGACAUUUUAGGAUGGAUACUGCAGGCAACACACAACUGAGGCAAUAUGCAAAAGCACAUAGCAGAGUGACAGACCACUAGCAAGCAGUGUUACCUUCCCAGAUGGUGCUACACACCUGGGUUAAUCAGUUAUUAAGUCAGUUGCAGCUAAAGGGCAUUCCCUUCAGUUAACUACAAGAGCAAUCAUGCACUCCUGCUGCUAAACUGGCUGUUUUGUGUCAGUCUAAGCAUAUCAAUAGUGAUGCUAUCAGUUGGGAAUCCCUGGGGGCACUCACCUGGGCCCAUAUAACUUGUGGUGAGCCCCUACAUGCAUUUCUCCCAAUCAGAGUCAGUGUUGUGGCUGGACCAGUCCUUGUGGUUUUUAUUAUGAUUGCAAGAUGCACUUCA